CAGUCGCCGCGGUAAUACGAAGGGUGCAAGCGUUACUCGGAAUUACUGGGCGUAAAGCGUGCGUAGGUGGUGGUUUAAGUCCGUUGUGAAAGCCCUGGGCUCAACCUGGGAAUUGCAGUGGACACUGGGUCACUAGAGUGUGGUAGAGGAUAGUGGAAUUUCCGGUGUAGCAGUGAAAUGCGUAGAGAUCGGAAGGAACAUCUGUGGCGAAGGCGACUAUCUGGGCCAACACUGACACUGAGGCACGAAAGCGUGGGGAGCAAACAAGAUUAGAUACCCGUGUAGUCCCUGUCUCUUAUAC
rnacentral:rRNA from 1 species